UCGUGGGAUCUGUACUUAAAUGUCGUUAAAUAUUAUUGAGCAAUAUUUUGUCAUAUGGGAUUCUCGUUUUUUUACAUCCUGUUUGACAAGGUUACGAGAUCACAAUAAGCUGAAAUAGUCUGUGUUCCUCGAAUUCUCCUAUAAAUUAACCAUGGCCGAAAAUAAUCUACCCAACCAGUAUGCUGGGGAUUAUGGUUACGAUCAAGCUGGCGAUAAACGACCAAUUGAUCAACCGACACAACUUCAAGGUUUUACCGGAGGCAGUGCCAACAACGUCCCAGCCCCCCAGUCCAGUCCUAACUAUGGUUAUGAUCAGCCAGCGAUGAACGCACCACCUCCACCAUAUUCCCCAAAUACAGCCUACCAACCACCGUAUGGCCCUGGUGGUCAAGUUCCUUAUGGCCCUGGUCAUUAUGGCCAGCACCCUCAGUAUAACCAGCAGCCUCAGUAUGGCCAGUAUGGCCCCGGGCAACAAGCUCCUACGAGUACAAACAAUGUGAAUGUUGUGGUCUCCAAUCAACCCGCCACAUCUGCUAUUAUAGUGACAUCAGCUCCACGUGAUUAUAUGGGUCUGUCAAUAUUUACGUGUUUGUGUUGUUUCUUCCCAUUGGGAAUAGCUGCCAUCAUAUUCUCCAUGAGGUCCGCAGAUGCUACCCGAGAUGGUGACUUUAUUCGUGCUACAUCAGAAGGAAAAACUGCCAGAUACUUAUCUUUCGCUGCCAUAGUUGUCGGCAUCAUCGGCGGUAUAAUAUAUGCCGUUCUCAUUACCCAGUUAUAUAAAACUAACUAUUACAAUGAUUAUAAUUAAUUGAAGGUAAUUGGUGAACAUUUGAUUUUAACAAGAUUGUAACUAUAAAAUAGUUGAUGCUGUGCAUUUCAUAAUUGUCUUUGGUUUUAACGUCCACUCGACACAAACUAGGUCAUUUCGGGACUAACACAUAGUUUAAUUUUAUUUACAUAAUUCGCUUGUGCGUAGGGGUCUUUAGCAGUGGGAGGAAACCGGAUUAUAAUGAUGAAAUUCAUAGUUAUGAUGAUAUUCAUGGUUAUUGUAAUGAUGAUAUUCAUAGUUAUGAUGAUAUUCAUGGUUAUUAUAAUGAUGAUAUUCAUAGUUAUGAUGAUAUUCAUGGUUUCUUUAAAAAAUGAUGAUAUUCAUAGUGAUAUUCAUAGUUUUUUUUAAAAAUGAUGAUAUUCAUAGUUUUUAAAAAAUGAUGAUAUUCAUAUUUUUUAAAAAAUGAUGAUAUUCAUAGUUUUUAAAAAAUGAUUUAAAACUAUAACAACUGUGCGAGUUCAGUAAAAUCCAAAUUUUAGUAGAUACUUCAACUUUGAUUGGCUAAGCACUAAAAUCAGUCUAAUAUUUUUCAAUCAAAUUACUAAGUUUUGGAUUUUAUCUAAGUUCAAAUUUCGUGAAACAGGCCCCUUUAAUUGGCUGGUGUUCAAAUAACAUAUUUCCCCUUUGCCUUCUGUUAUGUUGCUUUUUUAAUUAAUAAUUAUUUAACUCAUCUUUUUACUAGAUUAAGUUAACAACACUCACAAUUUCGCACACAAAAUUUCGCACUCACAAUUUUUUUCGUUAAAUGGAUAACUGUACUAAUGUGCCUUUUGUUUGUAUUUUUCUCUCGUUGGGAGAUUGAAAUGUUUUCAUUUGUUUACGAGGCUUAACACUCGCUUUCACCGAGGUUGAUAGCACAGUCAAAAUUGAAAUGUGUAAAACAUCCUUCAAUCUAAUUCAAUACCUUGUCCAUGGUGUAAUGGUAUUGCUUAUAAAUAUGAUUAUGUGUCUAAAUAAAUUUAUUUACAUCUCCAUUUAUUAUCUAACCUACGUGUUUAGGUUGAGGUUUACAAAAAAACAAUUUUUUAAUUAUUCUUAAAACCAAUACAUUGGAACCUAUGGGAUCGCAACUUUCAUAACUGGAAUUCCGAUCUUUAUGUUCAAAAUAUAAAUAUUGUAUUUUAUAUGUUAUUAAUAUAGGGCUUGGAUUUAAUAAAUUAAUUAUAAUUUA